rnacentral:tRNA from 1 species
GCAGUGGUGGUUCAGCGGCAGAAUUCUUAUCUUCCACGUGGGAGGCUUGGGUUCGAGUCCUGGCCAGUGCA